rnacentral:snoRNA from 1 species
CUCUCAUGAAGCCUAUAUUGGUAGGCACAUCUUAGAGUGUUGAUGAAUGCUGAAAGCUCUGAUGGAAAAAG